rnacentral:misc_RNA from 1 species
GAAAUGCGAUAAGUAAUGUGAAUUGCAGAAUUCCGUGAAUCAUCGAAUCCUUGAACGCACAUUGCGCCCUCUGGUAUUCCGGGGGGCAUGCCUGUCCGAGCGUCAUUGCGAACCCCUCAAGCACGGCUUGUGUGAUGGGCCCUCCCGCGUCUUGGUCGUCAAGACGGGCCCGAAAUGCAGUGGCGGCUUCGCGGUUAUCCGAUCAGCCAGAGCGUAUGGGGACUUUCUCUCUGUCACACGCCCGCGGCGCGGACCGACGCCUGUCGACCUUCAUUCAUCGUUUUCUCGGUUGACCUCGGAUCAGGUAGGGAUACCCGCUGAACUUAAGC